AGCAGCCCACAAGUUGGCCUCAAUUAAGCCUGGUACGCCGCGUACGACGCAGUUCGCGACACCGUCAAGAGUGUUCACCCGUGUCCUUGAUCACUGGAACAAACGCGACGAGGACAGCAGCAGUGAAGAUACCGAAGACUGCGUGUGGUUCGUGGCGACAGAUGACAAGUCAGAUGACGAUGAUUUUGGGAUUUCUGUUCUCCAACAGGAAGAACAGAGUUUCAGGUGCAGCAGAUGAAUAGUUUUUGGAAGUGAGGACAAGGCUGCCUGCUGUGCAGCCCAACCCUGUACCAUCACCCCCACCACCCACAGCACCACCGCAGCCAGCAGUGUCUGUUUCCAUACCACCAUUUCUUGUGGCGGUUAUCGACUGCAAGAGUCGACCGCCUCAUCUUUGAGAAUGAACUUCUUUGAAAACUGUUGAUCUCAGUGUAUUCCGAACUCUGUAUUCGAGUGGAUGUGUUUGUACCGACAUGAUCGAA